rnacentral:rRNA from 1 species
UACGGAGGGGGCUAGCGUUGUUCGGAAUUACUGGGCGUAAAGCGCGCGUAGGCGGCUUUGUAAGUUAGAGGUGAAAGCCCAGAGCUUAACUCUGGAAUUGCCUUUAAGACUGCAUCGCUAGAAUCGUGGAGAGGUAAGUGGAAUUCCGAGUGUAGAGGUGAAAUUCGUAGAUAUUCGGAAGAACACCAGUGGCGAAGGCGACUUACUGGACACGUAUUGACGCUGAGGUGCGAAAGCGUGGGGAGCAAACAGG